UGACGUCCUACAUAUUAGGGCAGGCAGAGCCAUAUGAAUGGGCAUCGAGUGAUAGGUUUAUGAGGCGCAUCAAUACAAUCAUGCAGGGCAAGACCAAUGGGGGGAACGGGCCGGAA
rfam:Brucella melitensis biovar Abortus 2308 chromosome I, complete sequence, strain 2308